rnacentral:rRNA from 1 species
GACGAACGCUGGCGGCGUGCUUAACACAUGCAAGUCGAACGGAAAGGCCCUGCUUUUGUGGGGUGCUCGAGUGGCGAACGGGUGAGUAACACGUGAGUAACCUGCCCUUGACUUUGGGAUAACUUCAGGAAACUGGGGCUAAUACCGGAUAGGAGCUCCUGCUGCAUGGUGGGGGUUGGAAAGUUUCGGCGGUUGGGGAUGGACUCGCGGCUUAUCAGCUUGUUGGUGGGGUAGUGGCUUACCAAGGCUUUGACGGGUAGCCGGCCUGAGAGGGUGACCGGCCACAUUGGGACUGAGAUACGGCCCAGACUCCUACGGGAGGCAGCAGUGGGGAAUAUUGCACAAUGGGCGAGAGCCUGAUGCAGCAACGCCGCGUGCGGGAUGACGGCCUUCGGGUUGUAAACCGCUUUCGCCUGUGACGAAGCGUGAGUGACGGUAAUGGGUAAAGAAGCACCGGCUAACUACGUG